rnacentral:rRNA from 1 species
AUUGAACGCUGGCGGCACGCUUAACACAUGCAAGUCGAACGGCAGCGGGAGAGAGCUUGCUCUCUUGCCGGCGAGUGGCGAACGGGUGAGUAACGCGUAGGGAUCUGCCUGUUAGAGGGGGAUAAGCCGAGGAAACUUGGACUAAUACCGCAUACGCUCUUAGGAGGAAGGAUGGGACUGCCGAAAGGUGGCCAUGCGCUAACAGAUGAACCUGCGUUAGAUUAGCUAGUUGGUAGGGUAAGGCCUACCAAGGCGACGAUCUAUAGCUGGUCUGAGAGGAUGACCAGCCACACUGGAACUGAGAUACGGACCAGACUCCUACGGGAGGCAGCAGUGGGGAAUAUUGGACAAUGGGGGAAACCCUGAUCCAGCGAUGCCGCGUGUGUGAAGAAGGCCUGAGGGUUGUAAGCACUUUAGUUGGGGAGGAAAGGGCUCUCUUCUAACGAGGAGAG